UCGAGCGAGACCUUCGGGUCUAGCGGCGGACGGGUGAGUAACGCGUGGGAACGUGCCCUUCUCUACGGAAUAGCCCCGGGAAACUGGGAGUAAUACCGUAUACGCCCUUUGGGGGAAAGAUUUAUCGGAGAAGGAUCGGCCCGCGUUGGAUUAGGUAGUUGGUGGGGUAAUGGCCCACCAAGCCGACGAUCCAUAGCUGGUUUGAGAGGAUGAUCAGCCACACUGGGACUGAGACACGGCCCAGACUCCUACGGGAGGCAGCAGUGGGGAAUCUUAGACAAUGGGGGCAACCCUGAUCUAGCCAUGCCGCGUGAGUGAUGAAGGCCUUAGGGUUGUAAAGCUCUUUCAGCUGGGAAGAUAAUGACGGUACCAGCAGAAGAAGCCCCGGCUAACUCCGUGCCAGCAGCCGCGGUAAUACGGAGGGGGCUAGCGUUGUUCGGAAUUACUGGGCGUAAAGCGCACGUAGGCGGACUGGAAAGUCAGAGGUGAAAUCCCAGGGCUCAACCUUGGAACUGCCUUUGAAACUAUCAGUCUGGAGUUCGAGAGAGGUGAGUGGAAUUCCGAGUGUAGAGGUGAAAUUCGUAGAUAUUCGGAGGAACACCAGUGGCGAAGGCGGCUCACUGGCUCGAUACUGACGCUG
rnacentral:rRNA from 1 species